GACGAACGCUGGCGGCGUGCUUAACACAUGCAAGUCGAACGGAAAGGCCCUGCUUUUGUGGGGUGCUCGAGUGGCGAACGGGUGAGUAACACGUGAGUAACCUGCCCUUGACUUUGGGAUAACUUCAGGAAACUGGGGCUAAUACCGGAUAGGAGCUCCUGCUGCAUGGUGGGGGUUGGAAAGUUUCGGCGGUUGGGGAUGGACUCGCGGCUUAUCAGCUUGUUGGUGGGGUAGUGGCUUACCAAGGCUUUGACGGGUAGCCGGCCUGAGAGGGUGACCGGCCACAUUGGGACUGAGAUACGGCCCAGACUGCUACGGGAGGCAGCAGUGGGGAAUAUUGCACAAUGGGCGGAAGCCUGAUGCAGCAACGCCGCGUGCGGGAUGACGGCCUUCGGGUUGUAAACCGCUUUCGCCUGUGACGAAGCGUGAGUGACGGUAAUCGGUAAAGAAGCACCGGCUAACUACGUG
rnacentral:rRNA from 1 species